GGUCUUUUGAAAGUAAAGGAACAUCAGUCCUGGGGUUGGGAUGAAAGAGGAUCGACUCCCCAAAGUGAGGGAGGGACGUUUCCAGAGUGCA
ensembl:miRNA